GAUCAUUAUCGAAAAAAGAUAAAGAUAAACUUGACUGUUUGUCUUUAAUUAUUCUUUUAUCUUGUCCACUGUGUGAACUUUUUUAUCGGGCGGCCAAGGGUAUUUAGUUGCCCAGCCGGUCGAGAUGCAGAGUUUAUUCUCUCGUCGAAUUACCAUUUUUUAAUGCCAAUGUCAAUAACAUGAAUGUGUGAUAUAUAUAAAUCAUUUAAAACUUUCAGUGACGGAUCUCUUGGCUCUCGCAUCGAUGAAGAACGCAGUAAAUCGCGAUACGUAAUGUGAAUUGCAGAAUUAAGUGAAUCAUCGAAUCUUUGAACGCAUCUUGCGCUCUGGGGUAUUCCUCAGAGCAUGCCUGUUUGAGUGUCUUUUAAUUCUCAUACCCAAAAUUUUUGUUUAUUCAAACUUUCUUGGGGCAUGGAUCGUGGCUGCAAGACGAAUUUGAUUCUUUUAUUAAAUCGUCUCGGCUGAAAUUGAUGAGCGGACUUUAUCGUGUAAAAAGCGAUAACUCAGAGUUGCUUUUAUGUGUGUGUAUAUGUGUAUGCGUAUUGUAUCUACAAUAAACACCAAUAAAAAAGGGGCAUUGUGAGGAAAAUCGAGUUCGGCGUGAUAGGAUAUUAUCAUUACGUUGAGCAUUCAAUCGAUCGAAUCAUUUUGUGCUUUUGGUUGUUUAUUUUACAAGUCUGCGAACCAUGUUGCAAACAUAUUCUUAUGGGUCUCUGAGCAUUGUUUGCUACGAACAUUGUAUUAUAUCCAAUAAUGACCUCAAAU
rnacentral:misc_RNA from 1 species